ensembl:lncRNA
GGCAGCUCCCCGCCGGCCGCUGCGCCCGCCGGCCCCGAGCGCACUGAGCGGUCCGCGGCCAUGGCCUUCGGAGGGGAUUCGCGUUCGCCCCCUCCCUCUCGUGCAGAAAGUCAGACAAGUCUAUGAGGAAACUGAGAACUUCAGGAGAGGGGAGGAAAAAACAAACAAACAAAAAACAAAAAACAAAAAAACCGCGAGAGAACAACAACAGCAAACCUGCCUCCGUGUUCGGAUGAUCUCUGGGCUGAUCAGCAGCAGCCAGAGGUAAACUUUGGUGCAGCGGCACCGCUCCGGGCUGCGAGCCGAGCGGUUCCUAUUUCUCCGUUGAAAGGAGCGGGUUUUGCUUUCACAGCGUCAUCUGUCUUGAAGCUAGGAGGGAGGCUAGGGGAGGGCUCGAGGUAAAGAAGUCUGUCCUCUCUCCGAAGGAAAUGUUUUUUGUGCUCAAGAUGACCUUUUCUUAAAAUGCAGCCUCUCCAGCGGUCUGAUUUUUAUUUUGACUGGGAAGUGUGUGAAACUGAGCCCUAACUUCCCACAAACCCUAGGAUGUGCACUUCUGGGAUUAGCAAUAUGGGGCAUCUGUUGUCACCUCUCCUCUUGAGCCUGGCAGCACUUUUUUCAAAAGAUUGUGAUGGUGAUGAUGAGGGACAUGUGGUUUUUCUCAAAGUAACUGCACUGACAAUACUUGUGGGCAGACUCCUCCCAGGCACCUGCUGCUCUUGCUGUGCAAUUGGUAUGUAUAGAAAACACACUGCAUGCUGAUUUCAGAUGGCUGCUGCUUAGUGAUCAUAAAGUACCAAUAUGGUCAGUAAGAGUAUUUCUCCUAGGUGCUGUCUAUAUGCAGAAAUCAAAACAGGUUAACUUGAAAAUCCAAGAGAUAGAAGAAAUCUUUCUAGCUCAGUGUUCAAGCUGUAUCCACAGAGGCAAAGCUCUUGUUCUUUGCCUCAACUACACUGAACUCACUGCCUUUUCAGACGUUUUAAGUGAGGAAAGGGGAAACUGAGUUACACAUUGCAUUCUAUUUCUUGACAGCAUACUUCUGGGAGAAGCCCAGUUCUAGUUUCUUUUAGAAAAAUAAUAAAUUCUGUAAAAAAAAAAAAAACAAAAAAAAACAAAAAAACCAAAACAAACAAAAAACCAAAACCAAAAAACUCUACAGCCAGACCUAUGUUUUAUUUGUCAGCUACAGUACUGGCUUAAUGUGAUUUGGCUUCUAAUAUUUCCCUGUAAUAUUCUCAUUUUUUACUUGUGUCUUUUCUAUUAUUAUUUCCCUGGCAGGCUCUGUGACACCAACCAAUGUUUUAGAUGUUAAUAAAAGUAGCUUUAUUCAAUAAGGAUGAGUUUUAUUUAAUAAGAGAAUCGAAAGAUAACCUGACUUUUCAUGCUGCAUUCGCAUUAAAUCAACCUCCUGAGGUAGUUGUGGAUUCCACGUUUAGUGACUGUCACUGGUCCUAGGAUGCACAAACCUGACUCCAGACAGAUUGGUUGCAGAAAAGCUCAAGAGGUACCUGAGAUUCAUUGCAGGCUUGGUUUAUAAUGCGUUACAUUAAAAUACUUGAUUUUCACCAAUCUUAAUAAUGUUGCCUGCUGCAAUAUUAAUGGUAAUUCAGAAUGAAGUGGAUUUGAAAUACUUCAGAGACAUUUAGAUAAUGCUGAUUAUUAUGAGUGGAUUUAAGGUUCGUAUUUGAGUAUGUUAGGCUGCUCCAGCCUCCUGUGUAGGGAGAAAUUUUACUCUAGAAAGACAAUUGAUUUCUCCUUAUACUGAGUAGGCUUGGUUUCAAGGUAAGGUGCUAGUCUGGUCCUGCAGAGCUAAUAGAUUGAAAGCCUUCAUACUCCAAAGAGUACAGCUUGGAGGCUUGCCCAAACAUCACACAUUUUCCAAUUUAAUAGUGCAACUUACAGAAAAGGAUGACAUAACUUCCAGGUCUAUGAUAUAAGAUAUUGGGUCCAUCUGUAGGUCCACAGUGGGUGUGAUCCCAAAUCAUAUUUAAAUCAGUAUACAUGUUCUCAUUGCCUCUGGCAAGCUUUAAGUCAGAGUGUAGACAGAGUUUUCUGGUGCAGUGUUUUUCAGCCGUGGCCCACACAGCAGUGGUGAUUCAUGGAACAUCUGAGCAGUGUUGUGAAACCAGUGCCAGACAUCUCAUGCGUGCAGGCUAGAAAAGAACACGGAGAAAAUAAAUGUAGCAAGGAUGCAUUCAGAGUACGUCCUGGUUUCUCUUUGGUUGUAAGCUAAAACAUUUGUGACAGUACUGUGCAGGAUGGUCUAGAUUUCUUUCAGAAAUGUUAGUCUUGUCCUUAAAAAGGUUUGAUGAAAAACCACUGUAGUGAGGCUAACAGUAAUAAUUUAAAGUAUAUUUCUCUGAACAGUUUGGUAUUAUGUUAAUACUUUGGACACAGCAGUUGAUAAUGUGAAUGUUUCUAAUCUACUCCAGCACAGGUUUGCUAAAAUCAGCAUUGGAUAGUGGCUCAGUGAAGCAAGGUAGGAGUAGUCUGCUUGAGUUGCUCAUGACAUCUGUGCUGUAGGGUCAGUUAACUUCCUUAGAGGCUCUUACUGUCAUCUCUGAGGAUGUAUCUUGGCUUUCACACUCCUGGACUAGAUUUUUUUUUUAAAUUAAGAUUUUCAGAAAGAUUUCUGGAGGUAGUUUUCUGUAUUGCAGAUGAUUGAUUGCCUCCAUGAAAGAUACUCAGCAAGAUGUGCUCAUUUUUGGUUCUUGUACAGUCCAUGUAGAAAUGGUUGGCAUUGACUCAAGUAGGACAAUGCUAUAGUUCUUUAAAUUUGCAAAAUGUAGGCCCUCUUCCUUCCUUCUGCUGUCAGUUCUCUUUCUCACUGGUCUUUCUAGAUCCAUUUUUAAAGUUACUUAGAGUUGACUUGGAAGAACAUCUUGGUGUUAUUUCAGUGGAUUGUAUUUUGAGGCUCCUAGUGGAAGAGGAUCAAUACAGAGCUAAAUAGCUCUGAUAACACUUCACAAUGUAAUAAAUGUUAAAAAAAAAGGAAAUUAAAAACCACCCAAAACAACAGCAACAAACCAUAAUCACAUUAUCAGUUACCUACUUGUCAUCUUUAGCACGUUUACAGAAGCUUUCAGAAGCAUGUACCCCCUUGAUCUGGCAAAGGAUGUCUUUAUGAUCAACAGUAUGGGACUUAGGGUGGAACUGAGCAAUUCUGAAUCUGCCCAGUGGAGAGCAGAGGUGUGUGUUCAUUCUGUAAGUUUAUUACCAAAUUUAGUUACUCUGUAA